ensembl:lncRNA novel transcript
GAGGCGCAGCCAGCUUCUGAAGUGGGAAUAGAGGGAUUGUUUCCAGGAUUAGCAGCCAUGGAGAGGGUGGGGGUGCAGGCUGGAUAAGGGGCCGUUCUUGCGGAUUGGCAGCCAGUUUGGGCAGCUCGGUUGGAGGGGUUGUUCUCCAGUAUUACUGGCCAUGGUUCGGGCAGCCUGGACUUUAUGGGGGAAUGCAGGGAUUGUUUGGAGCAAUCAGCACCCAUAGGCUGGGCAGGCUCGAUUCUUUAUUGGGGGGUGUCUUGCUAUGUUACCCAGGCUGGACUCAAAUUCCUUGGCUCAAGUGAUCCUCCCACCUCCUCAGCCUCCCAAAGUGCUGGAAUUACAGGCGUGAGUUGCUGCACCCAGCCUGCUCAGUGACGUUGAUGUUAGCCAGAUUCCAUCUUAUCUAUGGAAAACGGAAGCACAACAGGUGAAGUUGCCUGCCAAGUCAGCCAGCUGAUCUUGCCCUUGAACACUGUGUGUGGAAGCACCUCGGUCCCAAGAAGCCUGAAGUCGGCUCAUGGUGGGAGUCUUAGAGUGAGCUGAUCACAUAGCCUGCUAAACACAUUUGUGGAGACUUCAGGGAUCCAGUGGUUUGGGACAUGCUUGGACAUUCCUUCCAAAGUAAAAGACAAAUGAUUGCAUCUCAUACUUCCCACCAACGAGAAUAAAGCACGAUGCUUAGUAGGCUCCCUUGGGUUUAAAGGUAGCAAACCCCAUAGGUGGGCAUGCUGCUCUGGCCCCCUUAUUGAGCUAUAUGAAGGCUCUGGGCCCAGAGCUGGAAAGGGCUCUGUAGCAAGUUCAGGAUGUGGGUCAGCAGCCCUGCUCCUUCCAUCAUAAGAUCCAGCAGACCUUAAUGUAUACGAGGUAUCUAUGGUAGAAAAAGAGGGCAUUUGGAGUUUACGACAGGUUCCCAUGGGAGAAUCACAAUACAGACAAUUAGGGUUCUGGAUCAAGACCACACCAUCUGUAACUGAUAAUUAUACAUAUACCACCCAAAAAACCAAACCCAACCAGAACAGCUCCCAGCAUGCCACCGGGCCCUGAUGGAGGCAGAGCACCCAGCAACAGACAUCAAGCGACUCUGCAGCCAGAACUGCCCAUCCUGAGCUGGGUUCGGCUAGAACCCAAGUUAUAAAAUCAGUGGUGGGCCCAACAGCCCCAUUCACAGUAUGAUGGUGAUGGUGCAUUCCAUUCUGGGCCAGAGCAGGGCCAUGUGGCAGCCAGGAGCUGCACAAGCAGGUGGCCCAGGCCCCAUAUUGUCUGCAAAGGUUGCAUCGGGCCCCUGUCUCACUCAGCUCAGAAUUGGGGUAGAGGUGGGAGUAAAGGGGCCAAACUUGGGUCAUGGCUUGAUAGGUGGAUGUAAGCCCCAAAUGCUGCUGUGCUAUAGCCUGCCAUGGGACAGCCCUGAAAAACAGUGGUGGGGGAAAGUCCUCCCAAUAGGCAGAAAUUCUGACAGAGCAACCGUCAUUCACUAUGUGGAAAGAAGCGGACUGAGGUUAGAGUAAACAUGAAACUGAUGGACAGUGGCUGAUGGCUGGGCUGGUGAUCAGGGGUCUAGAAGGAGAAAGACUGGGAGGUGUGGUGGGC